rnacentral:rRNA from 1 species
UGAGCAAUCUGCCCUUCUCUUCGGAAUAAGCGUUGGAAACGACGUCUAAUGCCGAAUACGACCUCCUUUCGCAUGAUCGGAGGUGGAAAGCUCCGGCGGAGAAGGAUGAGCUCGCGGCCUAUCAGCUAGUUGGUGUGGGUAAUGGCCCACCAAGGCGACGACGGGUAGCCGGCCUGAGAGGGUGACCGGCCACACUGGGACUGAGCACGGCCCAGACUCCUACGGGAGGCAGCG